GACGAACGCUGGCGGCGUGCUUAACACAUGCCAGUCGAACGGAAAGGCCCUGCUUUUGUGGGGUGCUCGAGUGGCGAACGGGUGAGUAACACGUGAGUAACCUGCCCUUGACUUUGGGAUAACUUCAGGAAACUGGGGCUAAUACCGGAUAGGAGCUCCUGCUGCAUGGGGGGGGUUGGAAAGUUUCGGCGGUUGGGGAUGGACUCGCGGCUUAUCAGCUUGUUGGUGGGGUAGUGGCUUACCAAGGCUUUGACGGGUAGCCGGCCUGGGAGGGUGACCGGCCACAUUGGGACUGAGAUACGGCCCAGACUCCUACGGGAGGCAGCAGUGGGGAAUAUUGCACAAUGGGCGGAAGCCUGAUGCAGCAACGCCGCGUGCGGGAUGACGGCCUUCGGGUUGUAAACCGCUUUCGCCUGUGACGAAGCGUGAGUGACGGUAAUGGGUAAAGAAGCACCGGCUAACUACGUG
rnacentral:rRNA from 1 species